CCCCCAGACUCCUACGGGAGGCAGCAGUGGGGGAUAUUGCACAAUGGGGGGAACCCUGAUGCAGCGACGCCGCGUGGGUGAAGGAGUGCUUCGGCAUGUAAAGCUCUAUCAGCAGGGAAGAAAAUGACGGUACCUGACUAAGAAGCCCCGGCUAACUACGUGCCAGCAGCCGCGGGAAUACGUAGGGGGCAAGCGUUAUCCGGAUUUACUGGGUGUAAAGGGAGCGUAGACGGCGGAACAAGUCAGAAGUGAAAACCCGGGGCUCAACCCUGGGAGUGCUUUUGAAACUGUUUGGCUGGAGUGCAGGAGAGGUAAGCGGAAUUCCUAGUGUAGCGGUGAAAUGCGUAGAUAUUAGGAGGAACACCAGUGGCGAAGGCGGCUUACUGGACUGUAACUGACGUUGAGGCUCGAAAGCGUGGGGAGCAAACAGGAUUAGAUACCCGUGUA
rnacentral:rRNA from 1 species